rnacentral:rRNA from 1 species
AGGCAGCAGUGAGGAUAUUGGUCAAUGGACGAGAGUCUGAACCAGCCAAGUAGCGUGAAGGAUGAAGGUUCUAUGGAUUGUAAACUUCUUUUAUACGGGAAUAAACGRAUCCACGCGUGGAUUUYUGCAUGUACCGUAUGAAUAAGGAUCGGCUAACUCCGUGCCAGCAGCCGCGGUAAUACGGAGGAUCCGAGCGUUAUCCGGAUUUAUUGGGUUUAAAGGGAGCGUAGAUGGGUUGUUAAGUCAGUUGUGAAAGUUUGCGGCUCAACCGUAAAAUUGCAAUUGAUACUGGCAGUCUUGAGUACAGUUGAGGUAGGCGGAAUUCGUGGUGUAGCGGUGAAAUGCUUARAUAUCACGA